ACCUUUGUAGCACCAUUAGGGUCACAAAGAGUUAGUCUUUAUUAAGGAACCAACAGAGGAUAUUUCUGCACAGAAAGAUGAGGUGCCUGUAGGAGGAGAACGUAGUCCUGCUUACACGAGGAGUAGGUGGAAAUUGAAAAAAGAGAACUUGUGAUCAUUUGCUUCAAAUGAGACCAACGUGCCGAACUCCCAGAAGGAUGGAGCAGGAAGGAAAGGCGAGGUGGUAGGAAACAUGAGCACGUUUACAUAAAUGUUCAGCUCCUUCUGGGCUUGCCUAAUCCCGGUCCUUUGGAGUUUGCCUUUUACGAGGGUAAACAUGGUUUAAUAGUGAGCAAAUAUUCGUUCACAUAAUUAAAACCUGUUGAGUUGAACAGGAAACGUCCAAGGGAAAUCUGCAGGUGCCUGCAAGCAAGGGUGACUCUGGAAGGAUCUUGGUAUGUCGGUGCCUUCUCUCCCAAGGCUCCUACCCAUGGGACCGAGAACGUUAAUGUCAGAAAGAAGUUAGAAACUGAUAUUGAAGAGCAGACCUGUGUUGGAAAGAACAUAGUUCAAGGGAGACUGGUGAAUGAAGAAGGGACGAUCAAUGUGAUGGCUGGAGCUCUAGCUGCCACAUUGGACCAUGAAGUGAAUUCAAGAUGGAAGCCAUAUGCUAAGUAUGGCAGAACAAAAAGAUAGAGGAAACCUGGAACUUUGAUGACACUGUAGCUCCCAUACCAGCCAGAAUCCAGCCUUAUUUUGUAUGAGAGAGAAAUAAGCUUCUAUCUGAUUGAAACCACUGUUAUUUCCUCCUUCACUUGGGACAUCACAAGCCUAGGGAAUCUUUGGAAGGCUUUGAGCAGAAAGUGAAGAAUUAGGGAUUUUAUUUGUUUGUUUUCUGGUAUGUUUAUUUUUUU